rnacentral:sRNA from 1 species
UUUUUUUCUUCUUCUUUUCAUAUACAAUUUGAAUCUAACAAUUUUUUUUGUUAAAUUUUUUAUUUCAUUUU